rnacentral:rRNA from 2 species
AAGCGACAUCAGCCAAGCGAGAUUACCCGCUGAACUUAA